GCGUAGGUGGGCAGGUAAGUCAGUGGUGAAAUCUCCGGGCUUAACCCGGAAACUGCCGUUGAUACUAUCUGUCUUGAAUGUAGUGGAGGUGAGCGGAAUAUGUCAUGUAGCGGUGAAAUGCUUAGAUAUGACAUAGAACACCCAUUGCGAAGGCAGCUCGCUACACUAUUAUUGACACUGAGGCACGAAAGCGUGGGGAUCAAACAGGAUUAGAUACCCUGGUAGUCCACGCCCUAAACGAUGGAUACUCGACAUCAGCGAUACACAGUUGGUGUCUGAGCGAAAGCAUUAAGUAUCCCACCUGGGAAGUACGACCGCAAGGUUGAAACUCAAAGGAAUUGA
rnacentral:rRNA from 1 species